UCCUUGGUGGUCCAGCGACUGGGGCUGAGCGCUUUUACUGCUGUGGGCCUGGGUUUGAUUCCUGGUCGAGGAA
rfam:TPA: Bos taurus chromosome 7, whole genome shotgun sequence.